CGGAGCAAGGGAAGCAAGUAUUAUUGCUGAUGAUUGGUCGAAGUAGCCCGAGUCAGGAAAAUGGCUGCGAGUACCUCUGUAGUCCCGGUGGCGGUGACGGCGACGGCGACGGUGAUGCCCGGCCUAUCCACUAACGCAGAUUUCUCAGAUUUGCGGGAAAUUAAAAAGCAGCUGCUGCUCAUUGCGGGCCUUACUCGAGAGCGGGGCCUGCUGCACAGUAGCAAAUGGUGAGAUGUCGGGGUCGGAGGGGACCAAGCUUGGAUCCUUGGCCUUGGGGGCUUCUCAAGCUGAUCCAGUUUGUGUGCGUGUUCCAGGUCCGCGGAGUUGGCCUUCUCCCUCCCCGCGUUGCCUUUGGCCGAGCUGCAGCCGCCGCCGCCUAUUACAGAGGUAAGAGCAUUUUCACAGUGAGCGAUCCUCGCCAAAGCAAUGUGCUUGAAGAGGCACAUUGAAUGCCCUGUCCCUGGAGAGGAGCUAACCGUUUAGCAGCAGUGUUUGCUAGAGGGAAUACAAGCGUUUAAAGAGCUGGGUGGUAUAAGUGGUUUUUAUCCGUGGUGUUUUCUUGUUUCGUUUGGUUUUGGUUUUGAUGGUGCUCUUACUUUAAGCCAGAGAGACCACGUACACAAUCAUUGCUUAAGAUUUCAGCUUUUGGGGUUUUGUGGCCCAACCUAGAAAAUACUCAAAGAUGAGAAAAAGCAAAAGUUUUCGCAACAGCUUGGGACUAUUCUUGCUCUAUUGUUUGAUCCGCAUUGCAAAAUGUGUGUGGGCUCUGGGUUCAAAUCUAAAACUAAUGACUUUUGGCAAUUUAUUUAACCUCCUGAGCCCAGUUCUUUUAUCUGAAAAUGAGAAUAAUAAUGACCACUUUGGGAGGGGACAAUUUAGGGAAUUAGAUAAUAUCAGGUAUUCUCAACAUUCCCAUUCAUAAGAGAGAGGUGGCUUGGUAGGGUAAAUAUUUUGCAUCUAUAUUCCAGUCAUGUUCUUUGCUCCUAUCAUCAUUGUGGGCAAGUAAAUGCUAAGUGACAGCCUUCCAUCUAUAGAUAAUAUUAACAAUAGUUGGGUUUUCAAGAUUAAUUAAGACAAUAGAGGUACAAUUUUUAUUUUUAUUUUUUAGAAUUAAAGGUAAAACUCACUCUUGUAUGAUUGUUUUGAGUCCGUGUGAUUUAUAUCUCUUAUUAGCUUUUACUUCCCUGUGACUAUUGUCACAGUGCCUAGGCACAUUGAUGGUCCUGAAUAGAAUAAAAAUUGCUGAAUGAGUAAUAAAGCACAAUGCCAGGUGAAACAUAGAGCCUCAGAAAAUAGUCCUUGCUCCUAACAGUUCAUAUAACACAGGAAUUUUAUAGACAUUUCAGAAACCUAACCAUUAUUGAAUUAUUAGAAAGUAAUAGCUAUUGGUGCUGGGUAUUGCAUGCCUGUAAUCCCAGAGGCUGGGGAGGCUGAGGCAGGAGGAUCACAAGUUCCAGGCCAGCUUCUGCAUUUUAGUGAGGCCCUUCUCAAAAUAAAAGGGUUGGAGCUGUGACUUAGAGGUAAAGUUCAGUCUCCAGAAGCAGGAGUAAGGGUGUGGGGGGUGAUAUUAGCUAUUGGUUAGUUUCAGCUUUCUUUGAGUAUAUUGAUUUAGCAGCUUCUUUUUUAAAUUGUUGGGCAUUUAGUGUUCUCUGGGGAGUGUCCCUAAAAAAUGCCAGAGAAACAUAUUAAUCUCAUUUAGCCUUGAUCCAAAAUUUAAACUAGAGUAAACCUUAAAACAUUGGUCUUCAAAGAAUUACUGAAAUUGAAGAUUCUUUUGCUGUGUUCAAAUCUGUGUAGUAGCCAUCUGUUAUAUAAACAUUCUGCCAGGUAUGAUGGUGCACCCUGUAAUUGCAGCAGCUCAGGAGGCUAAGGCAGGAGGAUCGAAAAUUUGAGGCCAGCCUUUGAGACCCUGUCUCAAAAUUAAAAAAUGAAGAGGGCUGGGAUGUGCCCUUGGGUUCAAUCCCUGGUACUAAAAACAAAACAAAACAAAACAAAAUGAUGUGAUUGGUACUAACUGUGGCUACUUAAAAACUCAGCUUUAAUGCUAAAUACGUCUGAAUCACAUAGUGUGUAACCUUCAUUAGAACAUUCUAGGUUCUCAUAAGCAAGAAUGAAAAUAUAAAGCUAUAUAGUUCAAAUAGUAAAACUUUGUGGACUUUGGAUUUUUUGUUGUUGUUGUUUGUUUGUUUUUUGUUUUUUUUUCGGUUCUAGGGAAUGAAUCCAGGGGCACUUUACCACAGAGCUAUAUUCCCAUUCCUUUUUAAAUUUUUUAAAAAUUUGAAACAGGGUCUUGUUAAGUUCCUGAGGGUCUAGCUAAGUUGCUGAGACUGGCCUUAAACUGCUUCUGCCUCCUGAGUUGCUGGGAUUACAGGUGUGUGCUACCAGCCCUGGCAAAAUAGUAAAACUUUCCGAGUUAUAAAUGUGUGUGAAGAGUUAUAAAUGUUUUGUGUAUGAUCUAUAAUAUGUAUGUAUGCACAGUGUUGUGUAAUUGGAAUGAUUUUUAUCAUAAUCCAUUUUUCCCUGAAUAUGCCAGUUGAUUUUUUUCCCACAACUAUAAAACAGUGACUAUUUCUCAUUUGGCAAGGUGUAAUGCACCAGUACUGCAAAAACAGAGAGAGACAGGUGCAUAAUGAAGGGAGGGGUUCAGUGGAAAAGAAAUAAGCAGCUGGUGAGUAGAAUGUGAAAGGGACCUUCAGAAUCCUAAGAUGAAUGGCAAUAUUUAGGACAUGUUGAUCCAGUGAAGAAAAUGCUAAAUAUGUUGUGAUUCUACUUCUGUACUGGUGAUAUUUGGGUCAAGAUGGAUAAGAAGAAAUGAAGUUUUUCAUGUUUUAGUUAACUCAUUCCUAGAAUUUGGGUGAUCAUACGUUUUUCUUUUUUUGUUACCUGGGAUUAAACCCAGGGGCAUUUAAGCACUGAGCACCCCAGCCCUUUUAAAUUUUUUUAUUUUGAGACAGGGUCUCACUAAAUUGCUUAGGGCCUUGCUAAAUUAUUGAGGCUGGCUUUGAACUUUUCAUUCUCCUGCCUCAGCCUCCUGAACCACUGGGAUUACAGGUGUGCACCUCUCUACCCAGUAUGUUUGUAACUAUGUUUUUAACUUAAAUGUGUUAUGAAUUAUAACUGUAUUUUAUUUUUUUUAAAUAAUUUUUUUAGUUGUGGGUGGACACGAUAUCUUUAUUUAUUCAUUCAUUUAUUUAUUUUUAUGUGGUGCUAAGGAUCGAACCCAGUGUCUCACACAUUCGAGGUAAACGCUCAACCCCUGAGCUACAACCCCAGCCCCUAUAACUGUAUUUUAUGUUGUCAACAAUGCUAACAUAUGAUAAGACUUUGUUGAAAUACAGAAAAUAUAAGUGAUCACACAUGAUAUACUUAUGUAGGAAUUUUAAAAAGAUGAGAAGGAAGAGAAUGCCACAUAUGAAUGCUGGACAUUUUAAGUGACUUUUUCACAUUUUCCUCAUAUCAAAUCUGUAAGGUCAAUAUUACUUAUUCUACUUUACAGAAGAAACAGAUGUUCAACUAGGUGUGGUGGCACACUCCUAUAAUCCCAGUGAUUAGGAGGCUAGGGCAGGAAAAUUCAGGUUUGAAAGCAGACUGGGCCACUUAGUGAGACCCUAUCUAAAAAUAAAAAAUAAAAUGAACUGUUGAGACCCUGAGUUGAUUUUUAAAUUUAUAGCUCAAUGCUGAAGUGCCCUUGGGUUCAGUUCCCCUCCAACCUCCCCCAAAACUUGCCAAAAAAAUAAAAAAGAAAGAAAAGAAAAAGGAAAAAUGCAUGCUCAUGAAACAGAGACCAAGAAUCAGAAAAUGAAUUCAGGUCCUGAACACAAAACCAUUUGCAACUUCCUAAUGACAUUUGAAGAAACAAUAUAAGUUUCUGAGUAUAUUGAUUUAGUGGUUUGUUUUGUUUUUUUUUUUUUUUUUUGGUACUGAGGAUUGAUCUCAGGGACACUUUACUACUGAGAUACACCCCCAGUCCUUUUUAUUUUUUUUAUUUUGGGUCAGAGUGUCUCUAAAUUGCUGAGGCUGACCUUGAAUUUGAAGUAUUCUUAUCUCAGCUACCCAAGUUGCUGGGAUUAUAGGCAUUGGCACUGCACCCAGCUAUGUGUGUUGGUUUAAUUUUUAAAAUUUUUGUCUUUUGCCAGGUUUUGUGAUGCAUACCUAUAAUCCUAGCUACAUGGGGCUAAGGCAGUAGGAUUGUAGAUUCAAGACCAGCCUGGGAAAAGUUAGUGAGACCGUGUCUCAAAGUAAAAUAAAAGGAAUGGGGUUGUAGCUCAGUGGUAGAGUGCUUGUCUAGCAUUUGUGAGGCCCUGGGUUUUAUUCUCAGCACCACAUAUAAAAAAUAAAUAAAUAAAUAAAUAAAACGAAGGUUUAUCAACAACAACAACAACAACAACAUAAUAUUACAUUUAAAAUAAAAUGAAAGACUUGGUAUGUAGCCCUAAGGUUCACUGCCCAGAAAACAAAAAACAAAAAGAAAAAAGAAUAAAAAGGGCUGGGGAUGUAGCUCUGUGGUAGAGUACCCCUACAUUCAAUACCUAGUUAUUUAAAAAAAAAUAUAUGUGUGUGUGUGUGUGUUUGUGUGUGUGUGUCUUUGUCUUUUGCACCACCUUUUUAUUUGAAAAGUAUUUUGGAAAGAAGUAGUUCUUUCCAAAGAAAGAACUUGCCUGGUAGUACAUAUAUAAAAAUGCUGCAUGUAUACAUCUACAUAUGUGUUAGCUUUCUGGAAAUAGAAAAAAAAAAAUCACUUUUCUUAUAUCUUGAAAUUACUGAAUAUGUUUCUUAUGUUUGAACUUUUGUUGUCCUAUUUUCAGUUAUUUACAUGGACUUGUCUCUUUUCUAGGAGGAUGCCCAGGAUAUGGAUGCUUAUACCCUGGCCAAGGCCUACUUUGAUGUUAAAGAAUAUGACCGGGCAGCACAUUUCCUACAUGGCUGUAAUAGCAAGAAAGCCUAUUUCCUAUAUAUGUACUCCAGAUAUUUGGUGAGGGCAAUUUUAAGGUGUUACUUUGCUUUCAGUGAAGCAUUCAUAUUUAGAAUUAAAUAGAAAAAUCCCAGCCUGAGUUGAUUUUAACAGUGGGGGAUGGUGGUGCAUGCCUAUAAUCUUAGUGACUUGAGAGGCUUAGUCAGGAAGAUACAAGUUUGAGGCCAGCUUUGGCAACUUUGUGAGACCUUGUCUCAAAAUUAAAGGGCUGGAGAUGUAGCUCAGUGCUUACGUAAAGUGCCUCUGGGUUUAAUUCCCAGUACCAAUAAAUAAACUAUUCAGUUUUCACUUUUAUUUGUAGUACAUUUGUUGUUUUGUUGCAUGGCUGUUAAAUUGUAAAUGUAAAGGGCAAUACAAGUAUUUAAUUCUGGAAUAUUAUGAAUGUAUUUUCCUACUUUUUUUUUUUUUUUUUUUAGUUAUUUUAUGUGUGAACAGAUCUUUUAAAAUAUUUUAUAAGGCUGGGGGUAGCUCAGUGGUAGAGUGCUUGCUUAUAAUGUAUUUAUUCAUUUAUUUAUUUAUUUUUAUGUGGUGCUGAGGAUUGGGUUUGAUCCCCAACAUUGCAAAAAAAAAAUUAUAUACAUUUACAAGUGUAAGCAUUUAUAAUGUAAUGUAAUCCUUACAUUAUAGGUGUAAGGAUUGAAUUUAGGGAUGCUUAACCACUGAGCUACAUCCCCUGCUCUUUAAGAAAAAAAAAUUUUUUUUUUAAGUAUUUAUUUUUUAGUUGUAGUUAGACACAAUACCUUUAUUUCACUUAUUUGUUUUUAUGUGGUGCUGAUAAUUGAACCCAGGGUCUCACAUGUGUGAGGCGAGCACUCUACAGGAUCUUGAUAAGUUGUCCAGACUGGCCUCCAAUUGCAAUCCUCCUGCCUUAGCCUCCCAAGUAGCUGGGUUUAUAAGCUUGUAAUACUAAGCCUGGCUGGAUUCCUAUAUUUUUAAUUAUUUAUAAUUAUUUACUGUACUUACUUAACUACUUUGGUACUCAAAUUAUCCCACAUUUAGGCAGUGGGAGCCCCCAAAUGAUUGUUUGAAAUUAAUGACCAAAAGCAGAUGCCAUUUUUGUUGGACUUGAACUCUUGGGUAGUUUUAAAACAUGUUUCAGAAUAAAUUGAAAAAAAACCUACCUACUUGUUGAAUUUCUUUUACAGUCUGGAGAGAAAAAGAAGGAUGAUGAAACUGUUGAUAGCCUAGGUAUGAAUUUUUUUUCUCUUAUCUCUUGGAUUAAAAAGUAGCUUUGUAAAUUUAAGUGCCUGUUGGAGCCAGUCAGGUAAUAUAACUGGACUGAGAUGCAUUGUUGCAAAUUUCAGAGCACAUGGCUUAUCUCAUGUACCCUGUUGGCACCCAGCUUCAGCUGAGGGCUGCCUUGUGGCACUCUGGGCCUGAUGUUAUUAGGGCCUUCUUCCUUUGGCCCUUCUCUGUUUCCUGAAGCUAAAAACUCAGAUUUUUAAUUGAGGCUUCUGAUUUUUAGACAAUGAUAACUAAUUCAAAUUUAAAAACCCAACAACUAUUUGGGUGUAGGACUGCAGACCCAUUAUUAGUUGCAAUUUCUAGAAUAAAGUAAAUGGAUCGUAUAAGAUAUCAAUGGACACUUAUGAGUAUUUGCUGGAGGUUUCAAGUAUAACCUUCAGUUGAAACUAAAGGGAAUAUAUACAUCUAUGAAAAUGAAAGCCAGCAUCCUUCUCUUAGAUCAGAGACUUUGUUUCUUUCCUAGGCCCCCUGGAGAAAGGACAAGUGAAAAAUGAGGCUCUUAGAGAAUUGAGGGUAGAGCUCAGCAAAAAGCAUCAAGCUCGGGAACUUGAUGGAUUUGGCCUUUAUCUGUAAGUGGUUUUUAUAGUAAUUUGGAACUUUCUAUAUCUUUUUUUGUGUGUGGGUGAGUGUGGUACAGGGAAUUAAACACAGGGCCUCGCAUAUGCUAGGCAAGUGCUCUACCACUGAGUUACAUCCUUGGCUAUCUUUUUUAUUUUGGGACAAGGUCUAACUAGGUUCCCAAGGCUAUCCUCCAACUUGUGAUCCUUCUGCUUUAGCCUCCUCAGUAGCUGGAAUUAUAGACUUAUGCCAGUGUACCCAGUUUCUAUAAUAUAUUCUUGAGUAGAGGGGAGAUAUUAUAAAGCAUUAACUUCUCCUGUGAUUAUUUCCUUCUUUCCCAGGUAUGGUGUGGUGCUUCGAAAACUGGACUUGGUAAAAGAGGCCAUUGAUGUGUUUGUGGAGGCUACUCAUGUUUUGCCUUUGCAUUGGGGAGCCUGGUUAGAACUCUGUAACCUGAUCACAGACAAAGAAAUGGUAAAUUGAGAUGAUCCUCGUGAAGAUCCCUCUGCUUCCAAUGUAAUUGGGGGGUGGUGAAGUUUUGCCCAUAUGACCUCUUUAGCUAGCUCUUUGCUGUGUCUUUAGUCCCUGUCAUAAUUUCAGAAUUUAGAUCUUCAUUGGAUGAUAACUAGAUCUUGCUCAGUAGCUGCUGUUGGAUUCGAAUCCAUUGAUAUUGGAAUGUUUUUUGUAUUCAUGUUUUGACAUUCAAGUUUUCCUAUAACUUGUUUUAUGGAAUAAGUGUUAUAGUUUCUCCUCUAAUUCUAGUGAUACUAUAGGAAAGAUUUCUCUGAUAUCAAGGAUUAUACUAAAACAUAUUUUCAGGCCUCUUUUGAGAUAUCAUGGAUUCUGUAAAUAUUUAGAGAUUUAUUAGUGAAAUAAUGUAUAUGAAACUGCUUUAUUAACUGCAAUUGCUUUAUUAGUCACUGUUAGAAGACUUUGUCUAUGAUGUUCAUUCUGCUAUUCUUCAGUGGCUAAUAGAAGCAACAACACAAUUCCUUUUGUUGGCUUUAAAGAGCCAAAGUAAUGAUUUAUGCUAAAAAUCUGUGUCUGAGAUCUGACCUUUGUUUACUUAUAUUCACCUAUCUCUAACUACCUCCUAGAUUUCCACUGAAAGUUUUACCUCUGAACUCAAAAUAUGCAAAACCAAAUUUUUCAUCUUGCUUACCAAAUUCUUCUUGCUAUCUUGAUAUCUCACUACUUUUGCUAUUUCUCAAGACACUCACAUCUUGACACCUCAGAGUCAUAUUUAUUUGUCUUUCCCUUUCUCUUAUUUUCCUUAAUCUAGUCAAUCAUGAGACAGUGCCAUGAUUGCUUUCUUGUGUACAUCUCUUUGUCUUGGUUCUCUUUGUCAUCUCUGUUAUUUCAAAUUUGAAUUACUUAUAAGUAAUAGAUACUUUCUCUCUAGCUUUCCCAUUUUACACUUAACAUUUCAAAGUCAUCCUACAUAUUGUUUCAAAAUUUAUUCUUGGCAUGAAUGACACAUCAUCAUGUCAUUCUCUUGGCAGAAAUAUAUAGUAGUUUCCUGUUGUACCCCAUUAUCUGUUGCAUGGUAGGAUCUACCCUACCAGCCUAAUCUUAUUUUUCCUCUUUUUCUGGAUAUAGCUUCCUCAAACCAAGCUAGUUUCCUCAUCCUAUUCACACACAUCAUAUCUGUUUUGGCCCUACUUAGGUUGUUGCCCUUGCCUUGAAUGUUAUCUUCUUAAUUUUCCUUCCCCUUUUCUCUAUUUAAACCCUACCCAUUCUCUAAGACUCACCUUUUCUUUAAAGCCUAUUCUCAGUAGAUCAUUCUUCCCUAAUUGUGCUUAUAAGCCAUAUUCACUUAGUUGGAUUACCCUGUACUCAUUAUUAGGUGCUUUAAUAAAAUUUUAGUGGUAAAUCCCUUUAGACAAUAAAGAUCGUUCCUUGAUUUUCAUUUGGGAGAGAGGUCAAAUUUUAUUAAGUGUGUCCCUCUCUCUCCUGCUGCCAGCUGAAGUUCCUGUCUUUGCCAGACACCUGGAUGAAAGAGUUUUUUCUGGCUCAUAUAUACACAGAGUUGCAGUUGAUAGAGGAGGCCCUGCAAAAGUAUCAGAAUCUCAUUGAUGUGGGCUUUUCUAAAAGCUCAUAUAUUGUUUCCCAAAUUGCAGUUGCCUAUCACAAUAUCAGAGGUGAGUGAAUAAGGACAAUGAAAUACCCUCAGACCCUGAUAGGUGCACUGUGUUGUUUUCUGAACUUGCUAUGUUCUUUCUGCAGAUAUUGACAAAGCCCUUUCCAUUUUCAAUGAGCUAAGGAAACAAGACCCUUACAGGAUUGAAAAUAUGGACACAUUCUCCAACCUUCUUUAUGUCAGAGUAAGCUGCUUCUUUUGCUUGGGUUUGAUUAAGCUCUUUUGUAUUUUAGUCUCUUGGAUUGGAUUGUUACCUGUUUGUGUUAGCUAUAAGAGAAAUUAUUUAGAGAACCCUUUUCCAUUACUUAGAUUUUUUUUUUUCUUUUUUCUCCCCAGAGCAUGAAAUCUGAGUUGAGUUAUCUGGCUCAUAACCUCUGUGAAAUUGACAAAUACCGUGUAGAAACGUGCUGUGUAAUUGGUAAGAGUUAACUACAUUUUUUUCUUUUAAGACUUAUUUUUGUUAUAAAUAUCAUGAAUGUAAAAAUAACAGCAGUAUUAAAAGUGUCAAAGAUGAGAAAAUUAUGUACCAGAGAAUAUGAAAGCUUACUGUUAUCCCACCCUAAGGUUGUUUGGUGAACGUGACUCCAGAAUGUUUUUUGUGUGAAUACCAAAAAUAUGUAUUUGUUUAUAGUGUGUAAAAACUAAUCAUUAUAUAUACUAUACUAUAUACUGUAUCGGUAUUAGCCUGUCUUAUAUCCACUAGGUAUUGUGUAAUAAGUUUUGUGUAAUAACCUAUUUUUGUGUAAAUACUGCUUUGUAGCUUUUUUUUUAAAUGAUAAAUGUUUGUCAUCUUUCCAUAUUAGUACAUUUUGAUUUGUUUUACUUUUGAUGAUAGUACCUUGUUUUUGGUGUUGGGGAUUGGAUCCAGGGCCUUCCACAAGCUAAGCAUGCACCCUAUCACCAAGCUAUGCCAUCAGCCCUCAGCAUCUUAUUAUCUAUCUAUUUCUUUCUUUCUUUUUAAAUAUUUAUUUAUUUGUAGUUGAACACAAUAACCUUUAUUUAUUUAUUUAUUUUAUGUGAUGCUGAGGAUCGAACCCAGGGCCUUGCACAUGCAAGGCAAGCGCUCUACCGCAUAACCCCAGCUCCUUAUUAUCUAUUUCUAUUAAAUAUUUCUGCUUAAUAAUUUUGUUUAUUGAUUUAUUUUUUUGUGGGUGGUGCUGGGACUCGAACCCAGGAGUACUCUACCACUAAGCUACAUCCCCAGCCCUUUUUAUUUAUUUGUUUAUUCGUCUGUUUAUUUAUUUAUUUUUAAAAUAUUUUUUUAGAUGUUGAUGGACCUUUAUUUUAUUCAUUAAUGUAUAUGUGGUGCUGAGGAUCGAACCCAGUGCCUCACACAUGCUAGGCAAGCGCUCUACCACUGAGCCACAACCCCAUCUUUUUAUUUUAUUUUUUUGGUACUGGGGAUUGAGCUUAGAGGUACUUUACCACUGAGCUACAUCCCUAGUCCUUUUUAUUUUUUGUUUUUGAGAUAGGAUCUCUCUUAAGUUGUUGAGGGUCUUGCUAAGUUGCUGAGGCUGGCCUUGAAUUUGUAAUCUCCUGCCCUCAGCCUCUGUAGUUGCUGCGAUUACAGGCAUGUACCACCAUACCAGGCUUUAUUUAGUAAUUUUUUAUAAUAUAAGUUGUGACUAGUCUUUGUUAAUAUAAAUAAAAAUUGCUUUAAGAAACAUCUUUAUGCAUAUACAUUUGUUUUUGGAUGCUUGAAUCUAUUUUUGUGUAAUAAGUUCCUAAUCGUAAAAGCCUAGAUCAAGGGUGUGUGUGUUUGUUUUAUACUUUAAUAUGACUAAAAAGUGUGUUAGAAUUUCCAGUCCUAUGAAAAGAGAUGAGCGUGUCUGUUUUCCUGUACCUGACCAUCUCUUCUCUACGGUAUUGAUGAUUUGGGCUGGAUAGCUUUUUUUGUUGCAGGCUGUCCUGUGCAUCAUCGGUAUUAGCAUAGCCUUGUCUUAUACCCACUAGGUACUGGUAACUUCCUUUCCCCAGUAGUUAUAAGUAAAAACAUUUCUAGAUGUUGCCAAACACCCUCUUGAGGGUUGAGAACCAUAACCUUAUAUAGGCCAUGCUAUGUGGCCUGGUAAUCAGUGGAUAUAGACAAGUGAAUGACUACUCCUGGAGAAAGUAAGCAUGGUGGGUUUUGAUUGAAAGACUCUGUUUUCUGAAGAUGAAAGGAAUACCUGUUCCUGGGUCUUUGGUCACAUUAUAUCAAGAUCAUACAUUUGUACCUUUCUAGGUCAGGAUGUUAUUAAUAAACUAAUGGAAUUUCAGUUCAUCAUUUGAUUAAAUACUUUUAGCUCUUGAAGUUAUGGUCUAUAAAGCAAAGUAAAUAUUAACAAAAAUAUAGUAAGUCCUUUGGGAACACAAAUAGGCAAAGAACAAAUGGUCUUUUCAAUAUCAGAGUACUUUGAAUGAACUAUAAUGUACAUUAGGUAAGGGUGGAACUCCAGUUUAUUUAGAAAUGUCUCUUGAGUAUCUUCUGUGUGCCAAGUCACUAUGCUUUGUAUUGCAGUACCUACCCUAACUGCCUACUGAAGAAGACUAAUAAGAAAACAACUAUCAGCAGGUUGAAUGUUAUAAUUGAAGUGAACACAGCAUGCUAAGGGAGUACACAGGAAAGGUAUCUAAUACAGUCUGAGAUUAGGGAAGGCUCAUUAGAGGUGAUACUUGAAUGAUGGGCAGGAACAAAAGAAUUCAAGAAGAGAGGAGAAGGGUUGACUCAGGAAGAGUAUCAUUUGACCAGAGGUAACAGACAUUGUAUCUGAAAAUAGUUCAUUGUGCCUGGGCAUUUUGUGAGAGGUAGGAAUGAACAAAUUUCAGGUAGCCUUUUGUACCCAAUAGGUGUCUUCUGGAGGAUUUAACUAGAGAGUGAUGAAAGUGGUCAGAUUUUUAUUUUGGAAUAACAACCAGAAACAAUUGUGCUGGGAGGAUUAGAAAAAGGGCAAGAGUAGAGGUAGAGAGACCAGCUAGGAGACUCUUGCUGUAAUCUUGUGUAGAGAUGAUGAGAGCCUAAGCUGACACAUUGGCAGGAUGAGUGGAGAGGCUAUUGGACUUAGAAGAUAUUUAGGAAGUAGAAUGAACAGGAAUUGGUGAUUGGUUAACCAGAUUGAUUAUAGUGACUUUUACAUGAUGAAAGGAAAUAGAGGUAGAGGAGAUAAUGAAUGAUUCCUUUUUUUUUUUAACCUAUUGACUUGAAACCAUUUGAAAUCAAAGGAGAACCCUAAUAUAGUUCUAGAGAUAAUUGCAAUUGGUAUUUUCAGUAUGUCCUUCCAGACUUUUUACAUGUAUAUAUGAAUGUAUGUGUGAUUUUGUAUAUGAGAUUUAAUCAUCCUAGGUUUAUCAAAUAUUAAUAUUUUGCCAUAUUAAAAGACCUUUUUUAAAUAUUUAUUUUUUAGUUAUAGUUGGACACAAUAUCUUUACUUAAUUUAUUUAUAUGUGGUACUGAGGAUCGAACCCAGGGCCUUGCACGUGCUAGGUGAGUGCUCUACCACUGAGCCACAACCCCAGCCCCUAUAAAAGACCUUUUAAGAAAAAAAAGGGGUGGAGGAGAUAUGCCUAAGAAGAAUAAUGAUUAAGGAGUUUCUUGAGUUUUUUUGCUUUUGUUUUAUUUAUUUAUUUAUUUAUUUAUUUAUUUAUUUAUUUAUUUAUUUAUUUAUUUAUUUAUUUUGUAGUUGUAGAUGGACAGAAUGCCUUUAUUUUAUUUGUUUUUAUUUUUAUGUGGUGCUGAGGAUCAAAUGCAGUGCCUCACACAUGUUAGGCAAGCGCUCCACUGCUGAGCCCCAACCCCAGCCCAUGCUUUUGUUUUAUUUUUAAUCAUUCAAUGAAAUGUUCUUUUUUCCCUCAGUAUAUCCAUAAUGCCCAGCAAAAUUACUGAUAUAUAGUUAAUAAAUGUUUGUGGAAUUCAGCCCACCUACCUUAAAAAUUUAAGAAUAAGGAACAUUAGGUAUAACAAAAAAUGAACUUCAUUUUUCAUAUUAUAGCCAGUGCAGAGAAAGUGGAAAGGAGAAAGAAGGAUGGAGAGGAAAAAAGGAAACUGAGGACCUGAGAGAAUGAAACAAUCUGAGAGGAGAGUGAUGGCAAGAAUUUCCUACUGGUUUAGUCCUUGCUUCUGCUUCUACGUCUUGACAUGAAUUGUUUCCUUCUGCACUUGUUUAGGAGUCCCAGUCACUUUCUCUAAGAGCCAGCAUUAUAUGUAUAUCUUGGCAUAAUUAAGAUUUGGACUCUAGACCCAGACUGCUCAAGUUUAUUUAUUUUAUUUUUUGUGGUGCUGAAAAUUGAAUGCAGGGCCUUGCACUUGCUAGGUAAGCAAUGUAUUACUGAGCUACAUCCCAGCCCAGACUAUGCAAGUUUAAAUCUGGAUUCCGAUACUUUUUCCCCCCCUGUACUAGGGAUUGAACUCAUGGGGCACUCUGCCACUAAGCCACAUCCCCAGCCUCCCCUGCCCCUGCCUUUUUUUUUAAAACAUUUAUUCUUUAGUUUUAGGUGGACACAAUACCUUUAUUUAGUUUUUAUGUGGUGCUGAGGAUCGAACCCAGUGCCUCACGCAUGCUAGGCGAGCGCUUUUCGUCUGAGCCAACCCCAGCCCUCCCCAGCCCUUUUUGAGUUUUUAUUUUGAGAGAUGAUCUCACUAAGUUGCCCAGGCUGGCUUUGAAUUUGUGAUCCUCCUACCUCAGCCUCCUGAGUGACUGUGAUACAGGCAGGGGCCACUGUACCUCACUAGGUUCUGAUACUAAGUAGCUGACUUUGGAUAGAGUUCUGUGCUUUAGUAUUUUCAUCUAUAAGGAGAGAAUAAUAAAUAAAACCUUCUUUCAUGUAGUUGUAAAGAUUUAAAAAAUAAAUACAUAUCCAAAACUUACAAUACUGUAAAUUACCAGAAAAAUUAUAAUCAUUCAGUACAUUUUAGCUCUUACAUCUACUUAAUCCUUAUGCAGAACUUGCUAGUUCUGUCUUCCCUAAUAUCUCCUUUGUUAUCCUGACUUCUUUAACUACUGAGUCUCAUACUUUUGCUAUCACUAUCCUACCUCUUCUUUAUUACAAAAGUUCACCUUUGGGCACUCUGCCUAGAUCUGCUUACGCUUCCAUUUCUGAAUCUGAGUCAGUGGCAGAAGCAAAGAUAUCCUUGUGUAGGACAUAAAGUCCUCCAUCCCGCUUUUUUCUAGAUGAACAUGAAAUUGAGUUUAAACUUAAAUAACCAGAUACAGAGUACAGAUAAUUUAUAUAAUUGAUUUCUCCUUAAUCAAACUAAAAGGCUUGAGUCUAGACAGAUUUAAAAGACAUAUAUGGAAGACUUGGGGAUUUUUUUGGUUAGUUUAUCAAAAUGGAAUCACAUUAUGUAAUUACUCCAUAAUUUCUUUUUUUUACUUGAUAGUUUAUUAUGUUUCUUGUAAGUGUAUGUAUGUGUAAAUGUGUGUGUGUGUAUGUAUCUGAAUCUAUUUUUGAAUCUAAUGCACAUGCAAUUAAUACAAUAUACAAAGGACUUUUUUAAAAAAAUUUUUAAGUUCUGGUUGGACACAGUACUUUCAUUUUAUUUAUUUGUUUUUAUGUGGUGCUGAGGAUCGAACCCACGGCGCCUCACAUGUGCUAAGCGAACAUUCUGCAGCUGAGCCACAACUCCAGCCCAUAAAGGACAUUCUUUUAAGUACAGGUUUUUUUUUUUUUUUUUUUUUUGCUUGUUGCAUUCUUUACCCUUUAAGUUAUUGUAUUAACAUGUUCACAUUAGAAUAUAUACAUAUAUGCAGGGUAUAAUGGGCUACUUGCUUAACAAAAGUAGGAUCAAAUUUUAUACUAAUGUUCUGCAUUUUACUUUUCUCAUUAGAUACCUCAUGAAAAUUCCUCCAAGUCUUGGUAUAGCUCUAAUUUAUUCCUUUAAAAAAAUAAUUUUAUUGGGGCUGGGGGUGUGGCUCAAGUGGUAGCGCGCUCGUGUGGCAUGUGCAGGGCACUGGGUUUGAUCCUUAGCACCACAUAAAAAUAAAAAAUAAAAGAUGUUGUGUCCACCGAAAACUAAAAAAUAAAUAUUAAAAAAUUCUCUCUCUCUCUCUCUCUUAAAAAAAAAAUAGCUUUAUUGGGCUGAGAUUGUGGCUCAGUGGUAGGGCACUCGCCUAGCAUGUGUGGGGCCCUGGGUUCGAUCCUCAGCACCACAUAACAAUAAAUAAAUAAAAUAAAGAUAUUGUGUCCAACUACAACUAAAAGAUAUAAAAAAAAAGCUUUAUUGAGGUAUAAUUUACAUAGCAUAAAAUUUACCUAUUUUAAGUUUACAGUUAAAUGAGUUAUAAAUUUACAGUUUGGAAUCAUCAUCAUCAUAAUCCAGUUUAUAAUAUUCCAUCAUCUCCAAAAGUUAUUUUGUCUGUAGUUGGUCCCAUUCCCAUCUGCUGGCAACCAUUUCUAUUUUCCAGGUUUAUAGUUUUGCCUAUUCUAGGAAUUUGAUAUAAAUGAAAUUUUGCAGUAGUAUUAUUGUCUGACUUUUCUCAGUUAGCAUGUUUUUGAAGUUUAUUGAUGUUGUUGCAGAUAUCGGUAGUUCUUUUUAUUCCUGAGUAAUAUUCCAUUGUUUGGAUAUACCACUGUUGUUUAUCUAUUUGCCACUGAUAUAAGAUGAAUGGCUUUUAGGUUCUUAAAAUAAAAUCUUUCCCAGAAUACUAAAGUCUUUUGCUUGCUCUUUUUGGAACAAGUGAUUAGAACUGCCUUGAUUCUUGAGGAGGGAAAACUCUCUGAGCUCUAUUUUUUUUUAACCCUUAGGGAUACUUCCUUAUAAACUUAGGCUUGAAGGGAUAUAGUUUGAAAACCACCAAGCUAAAGUAUACUAUUGAAAUUUCAUAUACUAUAUUAAGAAAAUGAGUAUAUAAAUGCUAUUUCCAGAUGAGAUUAAUGAAGAAAAACUUAAACAGUGUUUGGGAACAAUUUUAUUUUUUAUACUACAGGGGAUUCAGCCUAGUGGUGCUCUACCUAUGAGUUAUAUCUUCAGCCCUUUAAUUUUUAUUUUGAGACAGGGUCUUGUUAAAUUGCCUAGGCUGGGCUUGAACUUGAGAUCCUCCUGUCUUACCUUUCUGAGGUGUUGGGAUUAUAGGUGCAUGCCAUCACACUCUGCUGGGAACACAUUUGUUUGUGUGUGUGUGUGUGUGUGUGUGUGUGUGUGUGAACCAGAAUUUGUGAUAGAUUAACUAUAUUUGCUAAGGGAAUGAUAAUAUUCCCCUUGUUUAAAAUUUGGCUUUUCUGCAAAGUUUCAUGCUUACCUGGUAGAAUGUUAUUUCAGAAGACUUAUUUUUACCCUUCUACCUUUAUAUAUAUAUAAUAUUUUUUAUUUUUUUAAAUCAGGCAAUUAUUAUAGUUUACGUUCUCAGCAUGAGAAAGCGGCCUUAUAUUUCCAGAGAGCCCUAAAGUUGAAUCCUCGGUAUCUUGGGGCCUGGACACUGAUGGGGCAUGAGUACAUGGAAAUGAAAAAUACAUCUGCUGCUAUCCAGGCUUAUCGGUGAGCAUCUAGUUGGGGGUUGAGGAUUGCUGUGUUAGGAGCCUCAGUUGAGCCUGCAAGUUUCAAGCCUUGAUUAUGCUUUCUUAACAUUCUUUCAUUUUCAUUUCUUAGACAUGCCAUUGAGGUCAAUAAGCGGGACUACAGAGCUUGGUAUGGCCUUGGGCAGACCUAUGAAAUCCUUAAGAUGCCAUUUUACUGCCUAUAUUACUACAGACGGGCCCACCAGCUUCGGUAAGUCUGGUCACUUUACAAUGUA
rnacentral:lncRNA from 1 species